UACGUAGGGGGCGAGCGUUGUCCGGAUUUAUUGGGCGUAAAGAGCGUGUAGGCGGCCUGGCCGGUCUGCUGUGAAAACUCGAGGCUCAACCUCGAGAUGUCGGCGGAAACCGUCUGGCUAGAGUCCGGAAGAGGAGAGUGGAAUUCCUGGUGUAGCGGUGAAAUGCGCAGAUAUCAGGAAGAACACCUAUGGCGAAGGCAGCUCUCUGGGACGGUACUGACGCUGAGACGCGAAAGCGUGGGGAGCGAACAGG
rnacentral:rRNA from 1 species